rnacentral:tRNA from 1 species
AGGGGCGUAGUUCAUCGGUAGAAUAAGAGUCUCCAAAACUCCAGAGGUGGGUUCGAUUCCUACCGCCCCUGCUA